rnacentral:lncRNA from 1 species
UAAAAGAGAAUUGAGAGCUGAGAAAUAACGCAGCACACCUACAAGCAUCUGAUCUUCAACAAAGUCACAAAAACAAGCAACAAAGAAAGGACUCCCUAUUUAAUAAACGGUUCUGGGAUAACUAGCUAGCCAUAUGCAGAAGAUUGAAACUGGACCCCUGCCUAUUACCAUAUACAAAAACCAACUCAAGAUGGAAUAAAGACUUAAAUGUAAAACCUAAAACUAUAAAAACCCAGAUGGUAACCUAGGAAGUACCAUUCUGGAAAUAGGACCUGGCAAAGAUCUUAUGACAAAGAUGCCAAAAGCUAUUGCAACAAAAAAAAAAAAUUGACAAAUGUGACCUAAUUAAAUUUAAGAGCUUCUUCACAGCAAAAGAAACUAUCAACAGACUAAACAGACAACCUACAGAAUGGGAGAAAAUAUUUGCAAACUAUGCAUCAGAAUCUAUAAGGAGCUUAAAUCAAUAAGCAUAAAACAUACAACCCCAUUAAAACAUGUCUGCUCAUGUCACAUUAGCAUUGAAACACUAUCCAAACUAUUGUUUUGGAAGUUAAGAUACUGAAGAAAUAAACCCCUUGAUAUAUAAACAGUAGCUUGGAGGUCAUGUUUCUAGCACCUUCUCGUGCCUUGAAAAUUAGCUAAGUUAGCUGCAUCUUCCUAGAACUGUAGAGGGAAGCCAGAGGUAGUUCAAAAUGCUGACUUUCUAUAAACUAAGCCCAGCUGGGGAAUAUAAUUCAGACCACAUAGAAAACACUUUUUCCCCAUUUUUAUCCCUUCUCAGACCUCCUAAUGCACUGCUCAAGCAAUUAAAUCUCCUUAUACUCAUGAGGCAUUUCCUAAGUGCC